GUAUACUAAAGUUGUUGCAGUUAAAAAGCUCGUAGUUGAAUUUCUGGUCUCGGACAGCGGUCUGCCUCAACCGAGGUAUGUACUAUCUGUCUAAGUCCAUCCUCGGGGAAAACAUGUCUCUGAUUGAGUUCAGGGGUAUGUGAUCCUCGUCAUUUACUGUGAGCAAAAUAGAGUGUUCAAAGCAGGCUUAUGC
rnacentral:rRNA from 1 species